GCAGGGGUGGUGGCGCAUGCCUGCAGUCCCGGCUACUCAGGAGGCUGAGGCUGAAGGAUCACUUGAGUCCAGGAGUUCUGGGCUGCAGUGCGCUAUGCCGAUAGGCAUCAAUAUGGUGACCUCUCGGGAGCAGGGGACCACCAGGUUGCCUAAGGAGGGGUGAACCGGCCCAGGCCAGAAACGGAGCAGAUCAAAACUCCCAUGCUGACCAGUAGUGGGAUCGCGCCUGUGAAUACCCACUGCACUCUAGCCUGGGCAACAGAGGGAAACCCCAUCUCUU
ensembl:misc_RNA Metazoa_SRP Metazoan signal recognition particle RNA